GUAAAUGUAGUGUAGGGUAACAGAGACUCAGGAAGGCGUGGAUAGUAUGAAACAACUAUUUUAUUUAUAAGUUCUCCAAUAUUAUGAUAAAAUAGUUUGGCACCUCAAGAGAGUAUUAUUCAGAUUCUGGCAUCCAAGUCCCAUUUGGGUUAAUUAUUACAGAGAAACUCAUGUAAUUUAAGGAAGUGUCAUAUUUUAGUUUAAAUAUCCAAUCUGUGUGUGUGUGUGAUUGUGACUAAUUUUUCUGUUUAAUUGGCAGAUUUGAAAGUUUGUUCUAGUGGGAAAAAGAAGGGAAUUGUUUAUGUGGUUGUUGGAGCCGUUGGAGCAUCAUGCCUGGUUGCCAUUAUACUGGUAAUUCUUUGGUGGGAAGGAAACUUGCCAGGAAAAUUGCGCAGGAAAAGAGGUCAAGAAAACAAUCAGCUUAAUCUGGAUUGGCCUACAAGGCUUAAGAUCUGUAUUGGGAUAGCUAGAGGUCUAGCUUUUCUCCAUGAAGAAUCAAGACUUAAGAUCGCUCACAGAGACAUCAAAGCUACAUAUGUGCUACUUGAUGGGAAUCUGAAUCCUAAAAUAUCUGAUUUUGGAUUGGCUAGGCUUGAUGAAGAAGAGAAGAGCCACAUCAGCACCCGAGUUGCUGGAACCAUAGGAUAUAUGGCACCAGAAUAUGCACUAUGGGGUUACUUGACUGACAAAGCAGAUGUUUACAGUUUUGGGGUUGUUGCUUUGGAAAUUAUUAGUGGGAAGAACAACAAUAACUACAUGCCAAGCUAGUUGAUACUGGAAUCCCUCAGGUCUUUUAACUUUUCCCACGUACUUGGUUUUUUCUUGCUUUUCUUUUGAUCUCCAAAGACAGCUGUCUAUUUCCAUUGGUCGAACAUGUAUUAAAAAUAAUUCCCUGUAAAUACAUAAAUUGUGAACUACCGAUCAAGAAGAGAUUAUUCAAGAGAAAAGGCAGGAGAUUAUCUUA